UUCUCCGCCUCUCCCUCUCCCCCACCCUAUCUUCUUCUCCUGCGAAUGAAACCCUAACUAAACAGACUCACCCUUCUUCUCUAGACUGAAACACUAACACACUAAAUCGAAGUGGAGUUAUUACUCUCGAUCUGCUUCUCUUCAAAUCUCUUUAUAAUUUCAUGAAAUUAUUAUUGUUUUAUAAUUUCUUGAAAUUGUUUGAAGAUGAAAACCCAUCAAAAUCUCUUUAGAAAAUUGGAAUCCAUAACUUCAUAAUCAAAUAUUGAGUUUUCAGAAUCAACAGCAAAUCAACAAAACCCAUUAAUACCUAGGAGUUAUGUUUUCCAUCUCCUACAUAUUCAGACAAGUGAAUGGAUCUAAUAACUUAGAUUUAUGUUUCAGUUGUUUUUUUAAAUCGAUUAUGAGUUGUUUUUUGAGAUAUUAAUUAUAAUUUUCUUUUUUGUUUGAUUUCAUCAGGUCUUUUGAGAAGAACGGGAAGAGGAGAAACCCUAAAUUCAUCAGCAGCAAGAACUGAUGAAUUCCUUGCUUCUAGUUUCAAAUAAGAAAUGGGUUAAAUCGGUUUUACUUAGUGAAGCUACUCGUUAUCUCAUUGUAUGGCACCCUUAUCUUUCCUCUGAAACCCUAGCCUUGUACGAAAAACCUUGAUAUUUGUAAAUCCUUUGUUUCUCAAUAACUCUGUGGUUUAUUACUCGUCUUCAAACCCUAAUUUCUUAUUACACAUGGAAGACGUAAGAAUUCAAUUACUCAUUCAGAUUUUUCUGGCUGUUUUGUGUGGUUUUGAGGCUCGACCCGUGUGUUUUAGGGUUUGAUUUUGGUCCUUUUGCCGAAGACAUGUUUCUCCGGCAAGCAACAAUAAUGGGUCCCCCAGACAGUCCAUACGCAGGAGGAAUCCAGAUUAUCCAUUUAAGCCACCAAAGGGGAGCCAUCUAAAUGACGUUGAUUAGACUGUGAAGUGCUGAGAACUUGGGGUUGCAAAACAUCCAAGCUUGUAUUAAAAUAGUGCAGUCAUUUAUGUUAGUAUCUCUCCUUCAGCUCACAUCAAGAUUGGAUAUGAUCAUGUUCCGGUACCUCCAAUGUAAACGAAGUUAACUCACUUGUCCAACUAUUUCGAAUAUGAGAUACUAAGAAGUUAUUUAUUUCCCACUUUUGAAUGUAAAGCCAACCUUUUCUUGAGAAUUUUCAGUUGUAUUGAUCAAAUAGGGCACUCUUGCAAUGGCAGUGAUGUUCUUAGUGUUUUGAAUAGGUUAUAGGAGAACUUAUUGGGGCCGUUAAGAUAAUGCAUCAACAGAUCUCAGACGCCUUCGGCAAUGACUGUACGGCAUCAACAGUAGACUAAAACAAAAUUCUCAAAGGUUGGGUCCAUCUGGAGUUGAAUGCAACUCCCCACUUGCACUCUGGAUUUAUUGAGAAUUUGAGCUUUUUUAUUAUUUGGUUACAGCUCACAAGUGUUAGCUUUCAGUUAUUUCUGGUUAAAUUCAUAAUGAGCAGAACAAUGAUAAUUUAUGGAGAGUUUGUAGAUCCUGAAAUUGUAAGAAUUGCAUGUUUUGGAUAGAUUAAAAAAGAAGAAUGGCCAUGUGUGUUUCAGUUUUAAUUGUAUUGCAGGCCUGUGUUUCAGUUUUAAUUGUAUUGCAGGCCUGUAAAUUGGAAUCCCAAGUCCAUAAAAUGACCUGGGCUAUCCAUAUUUUUU